rnacentral:rRNA from 1 species
AUCUAUGGCCACACCAUCCUGAGCAUGCCCUAUCCCAUCUCAUCUCAAAAGCUAAGCAGGGUUGGGCCUGGAUAUCACUCGGAUGGGGGAGAGAAUGAGUGGGCUGUCUAGGCU